rnacentral:rRNA from 1 species
AUUGAACGCUGGCGGCAUGCCUUACACAUGCAAGUCGAACGGCAGCGGACCUUCGGGUGCCGGCGAGUGGCGAACGGGUGAGUAAUAUAUCGGAACGUACCUUUCAGUGGGGGAUAACGUAGCGAAAGUUACGCUAAUACCGCAUAUUCUGUGAGCAGGAAAGCAGGGGAUCGCAAGACCUUGCGCUGAUUGAGCGGCCGAUAUCAGAUUAGCUAGUUGGUGAGGUAAAGGCUCACCAAGGCGACGAUCUGUAGCGGGUCUGAGAGGAUGAUCCGCCACACUGGAACUGAGACACGGUCCAGACUCCUACGGGAGGCAGCAGUGGGGAAUUUUGGACAAUGGGCGCAAGCCUGAUCCAGCCAUGCCGCGUGAGUGAAGAAGGCCCUAGGGUUGUAAAGCACUUUCAGUAGGGAGGAAUUAGUAGGGUUAAUAACCUUAUGAAAUGACGUUACCUACAGAAGAAGUACCGGCUAACUCCGUGCCAGCAGCCG